ACUUAAAUAGCUUAAGAUUAAGAGCAUAACUUUGAAGGUGUUGGGGUAAUUAUUUGUUUUUAAGUA
rnacentral:tRNA from 1 species